AUUGAACGCUGGCGGCAGGCCUAACACAUGCAAGUCGAACGAGUGGCGGACGGGUGAGUAAUGUCUGGGAAACUGCCUGAUGGAGGGGGAUAACUACUGGAAACGGUAGCUAAUACCGCAUACCAUCGGAUGUGCCCAGUUGGGAUUAGCUAGUAGGUGGGGUAAAGGCUCACCUAGGCGACGAUCCCUAGCUGGUCUGAGAGGAUGACCAGCCACACGGGAACGGAGACACGGCCCAGACUCCUACGGGAGGCAGCAGUGGGGAAUAUGGCACAAUGGGCGAAAGCCUGAUGCAGCCAUGCCGCGUGUAUGAAGAAGGCCUUCGGGUUGUAAAGUACUUUCAGCGGGGAGGCGUUACCCGAAGAAGAAGCAACGGCUAACUCCGUGCCAGCAGCCGCGGUAAUUC
rnacentral:rRNA from 1 species